rnacentral:misc_RNA from 1 species
AACGCACGAGACCUGCGGACCUGCGGAGGGAUCAUUACUGAGUGAGGGCCCCUCGGGGUCCAACCUCCCACCCGUGUUUAACGAACCUUGUUGCUUCGGCGGGCCCGCCUCACGGCCGCCGGGGGGCAUCUGCCCCCGGGCCCGCGCCCGCCGAAGCCACCUGUGAACGCUGUCUGAAGUAUGCAGUCUGAGACAAUUAUUAAAUUAAUUAAAACUUUCAACAAUGGAUCUCUAGAUCGG